GCUGGCGGCAUGCCUAACACAUGCAAGUACGAGCGAGAAACCGCCCUUCGGGGUGGAAGUACAGCGGCGCACGGGUGAGUAGCGCGUGGGUAAUCUACCCCUGCCUGAGGGAUAACACACCGAAAGGUGUGCUAAUACUGCAUAAUCCGGCGAAUCUGCGGUUUUGUCGGCAAAGGUGGCCUCUUCAUGAAAGCUGCCGGGUGGGGAUGAGCCCGCGUCCCAUUAGCUAGUUGGUAGGGUAAUGGCCUACCAAGGCGACGAUGGGUAGCUGGUCUGA
rnacentral:rRNA from 1 species